rnacentral:rRNA from 1 species
GAUGUACGCUAGCGGCAGGCUUAAUACAUGCAAGUCGAGGGGCAGCAUGACUGUAGCAAUACAGUUGAUGGCGACCGGCAAACGGGUGCGGAACACGUACAGAACCUUCCUUCGAGCGGGGAAUAGCCCAGAGAAAUUUGGAUUAAUACCCCAUAGUAUAUUUGAAAGGCAUCUUUUAAAUAUUAAAGAUUUAUCACUUGAAGAUGGCUGUGCGGCUGAUUAGGUAGUUGGCGGGGUAACGGCCAACCAAGCCUGCGAUCAGUAACUGGUGUGAGAGCACUACCAGUCACACGGGCACUGAGACACGGGCCCGUCUCCUACGGGAGGCAGCAGUAAGGAAUAUUGGUCAAUGGACGAAAGUCUGAACCAGCCAUGCCGCGUGGAGGAUGAAGGUCCUCUGGAUUGUAAACUUCUUUUAUAUGGGACGAAAAAAGGCUUUUCUAAGUCGUCUGACGGUACCAUAUGAAUAAGCACCGGCUAACUCCGUGCCAGCAGCCGCAGUAA